rnacentral:rRNA from 1 species
AUUGAACGCUGGCGGCAGGCCUAACACAUGCAAGUCGAGCGAGCGGCGGACGGGUGUGUAAUGUAUGGGGCGCGCGCGAUAGAGGGGGAUAUCUAGUGGAAACGGUGGCAAAUCCCGCAUACUAUGGGAUCACCUAUAUGGGAUUAGCUAGUAGGGGGGGUAAAGGCUCACCUAGGCGACGAGCCCUAGCUGGUCAGAGAGGAUGAACAGCAAAACUGGGACUGAGACACGGCCCAGACUCCGACGGAGGCAGCAGUGGGGAAUAUUGCACAAUGGGCGCAAGCCUGAUGCAGCCAUGCCGCGUGUAUGAAGAAGGCAUUAGGGUUGUAAAGUACUUUCAGCCGGGAGGCGUUACCGACAGAAGAAGCACCGGCUAACUCCGUGCCAGCAGCCGCGGUAAUAC